GGGAUAACACUUGGAAACAGGUGCUAAUACCGUAUAACACUAUUUUCCGCAUGGAAGAAAGUUGAAAGGCGCUUUUGCGUCACUGAUGGAUGGACCCGCGGUGCAUUAGCUAGUUGGUGAGGUAACGGCUCACCAAGGCCACGAUGCAUAGCCGACCUGAGAGGGUGAUCGGCCACACUGGGACUGAGACACGGCCCAGACUCCUACGGGAGGCAGCAGUAGGGAAUCUUCGGCAAUGGACGAAAGUCUGACCGAGCAACGCCGCGUGAGUGAAGAAGGUUUUCGGAUCGUAAAACUCUCUUGUUAGAGAAGAACAAGGAUGAGAGUAGAACGUUCAUCCCUUGACGGUAUCUAACCAGAAAGCCACGGCUAACUACGUGCCAGCAGCCGCGGUAAUACGUAGGUGGCAAGCGUUGUCCGGAUUUAUUGGGCGUAAAGCGAGCGCAGGCGGUUUCUUAAGUCUGAUGUGAAGCCCCCGGCUCAACCGGGGAGGGUCAUUGGAAACUGGGAGACUUGAGUGCAGAAGAGGAGAGUGGAAUUCCAUGUGUAGCGGUGAAAUGCGUAGAUAUAUGGAGGAACACCAGUGGCGAAGGCGGCUCUCUGGUCUGUAACUGACGCUGAGGCUCGAAAGCGUGGGGAGCGAACAGGAUUAGAUACCCUGGUAGUCCACGCCGUAAACGAUGAGUAAUGGGUGUUGGAGGGUUUCCGCCCUUCAGUGCUGCAGCA
rnacentral:rRNA from 1 species